ensembl:rRNA 5S_rRNA 5S ribosomal RNA
UUACACAGCCAUGUCAUCCUGCAACCCAAGAGCGGUUACUCACUGAAGCUGAGCAGGGCUGAGCCUGGUCAGUGUCUGGAUGGGAGAGCACAUGGGAACACUCGGCUGCUGUUGGCA